AAGACUGGGGAUGACUUUUGUGAGAAUCCUAACUUUGUAACCAUUUGGAAUAGCCUAGGAUAUGCCAAGGGUAGCAAAUGAAUAGUAUCGGUUUCUCUCUCCCCCCUAUCCUGUCCAUGGCAGGUAUCACUAAGUGAUCCCAGCACUCUUUCCCUGGGAGAUUAGACUUGGCACCCAAAAACUUCUUCAGGCAAGUUUUGAGGCAGGCAGCCACCACCAACUGAUCAGAAUUCCUUUCACCACUUUCAGAGGAUGAUGUCAUUGGACAACGACUCCAUAAUACAUGCCAGUUACAGUAGCAUCCCCACAGAUUCAAGCUAAACUGUUCUCAAACUGUCAAUCAAGCAACGUACAGGAGGAAAAAAGAAAAGGAACAACCUUCAUCAGCCAAACUUCUUCUUUGAAGUUUAAAUGCAAAAAGAUCCCCGGUUGAAGGGACUGGAGCGUAGCUGGCCUCUCUUCAGCACUAAAGCACAACUUCAUAGAGAUGCAUAUGUUCCCAGGGGAAAAAUGCAUUCAUUUUUCAUCACUGUAUAAACUUCUGGGUAUAUUUGUAUAGAUGACGGACUAUGGAUUUCUGGAGCAAGAUGGGGAGCAUCAGAAAGCUAACUCGCGGAUUUGCUGGGUUCUCCCAACUGUAACGGGAACCUCACUCCCAGGCCGAUGCCCCUUUAGCGUCUGCAGCUCUGGGCCCCAGGGAGGAAGGAGCCACAGAGGGUUCGGACAACAGCACUGACUGAUGCCAGAGCAGGACUCCAUUCUGUUAACCUGACAAAGCGCACAGGCUGCACCGGCAUGUUUUUCUUCCACUUUCUACACUAAUUUAUCAAACUGGAAGGAAGAGAUCAGAACAUCAAAUAAAAAUCCACAGCCGCAGAGCAAUUAACUCAAGACCUAACAUGUACCUGGAUAA